CUCUUCUGGGGAUCCCUUCUCUGGAGUUUUGUAGUGAGCCCAGAGUGUGGUUUCAAUCUCUUCAAACCCCAAACCAAUCUUGAAAUGAAAGCAAGAAAUACCAACUCUCCCACCACUCAAAUACUAUUUUAUACCAGAAGAGAUUUGCUCCAAGGGAAGCUAAGCCAGCUGGGACAAGGCCUCUUUCUCAUGCUCUCAGUGCUGGGAAAGCUUUCACUGGAAACAGCGCUUCUGACAGCCAGUAUUGAACAAAGUUAACAAGAUCUCUUUUUUUUUUUUUUUACUUAAAAGAAAAACAAAACAUAUGGCAAAGCAAAGAAACUGUAACACUGUAGGGGUUGUUUACUCUCCAGACCUGCUGGAGGUGUUGCAGGCAAGAGGAUCUAGGAUAUAGAUUUGAUGCUAAGAUUUUCUGGUUUUGUUUAUUUGUUUGGGGUUAUUUUUAAGCUGAAAAAUCUAUUUACAUCCCUUAGGUAUUCAGAGUAAACCUUUCUUCCUGAAUUGUUUUACAGAAUGAGAGAAACUCAGUGCUAUAACACAGUAUGGGGAUUACAGAAGUCAAAUAAAUUUCAGUCUCCAGACAUAAAUUGCAUUAACUUUCCAUGCAUUCAUUUUUCUCUUCUUUUUAUUAAAUAUAGCACUGUAAUUCAUUUAAUAAUCCCAGUUGUUGUGUAAGGAAAGCAUGUGAGGCACUAGUGACUAGUGCAAGCGGUCUCAGUGGUGCUGAGCUGCUA